rnacentral:rRNA from 1 species
UACGGGAGGAGCAAGCGUUGUUCGGAUUUACUGGGCGUAAAGGGCGCGUAGGCGGUCGUGACAAGUCACUUGUGAAAUCUCCGGGCUUAACUCGGAACGGUCAAGUGAUACUGUCGGACUAGAGUACAGAAGGGGCAACUGGAAUUCUCGGUGUAGCGGUGAAAUGCGUAGAUAUCGAGAGGAACACCUGCGGCGAAGGCGGGUUGCUGGGCUGAUACUGACGCUGAGGCGCGAAAGCCAGGGGAGCGAACGGG